AGUCCCUGUAGUAUAUUA
rnacentral:tRNA from 1 species